GAGGAUGUCAACUAUAGUCUCACCAUGAUU
rnacentral:piRNA from 1 species